AGCUGAGUAUAAUCCAGUUUGUGGAACAGACAACAAAAUGUAUAAUAAUCCAUCAUAUUUAGCGUGCGAAAGAGAAUGUAGAUCACGUGUACAAGUAAAAAAUGUUGGUCGAUGCCCGAGUUCCUAAGUAUCGUAUAUUUUUUUUAAAUAUACUAAGUCAAUAAAAUGUACCCAUUAAACUAAAUGUUUAUUUAAGAAUUGAUGUAAAGUGUAUAUUCCUGUAAAGUACUGAACCUUGUAAGAAAAUGUAACUAAAUUUUUGGACAUAUUAAAGAUUUUACACUCAA